UAUCUCACUAUUCAAGAAACAAUAAAAGUUGACAGAGGCACAUCAUGCAUGUACACUUCUAAAAACAAGAGUGAUAAAGAAUAGAUCUUCAGUAGAGUAUAAUUCACCAUUCAACUCAUUUCCUGAGCAGGCUUUCAAGGUGUUCCCAUGAGAAAUGAUUCAAGACAAGGAUGUCAAGAUGAGUGGUCAAUGAAGGAGGAGCAGUUUUAUCCAGUCCUUCCGAGAAAAGCUCUCUGAAACAAUAUUCUUCAACACCUGUUCCUGCACCAGUGCUUCGGUCUUCUACUUUAAUGUUGCUUCCAUCCUUGCAAGGGACAUUGUCAGAAGUCGCUGAAGAAACGACAUAGUGAUUAGGAGCUCUGCUUUGAUCUGAGUCGUCCUGGCUCACAAGGCUUUUGGCCACGUUGAGUUCAUCUUGUGCAGGUGGAUCCAGAAUGCACAAGGAAGACUUUGUCUCAUAAAUCACAUCAUACCUUCAGUGCUUGCUUUUAACUGGAACGUUGGAUCACCCAUUGCAAGUAAAGUCAUGGCAGCUUCAGUGCUUCCAUCACUAAUUCCUACAAAGUUGUUCAAACACAAGUUAAAAAUCACAAGUACACUUACAAAAAAAUUCAUUUACCCACACAUUCAAAAAGCAUUUGAUGUUAUCAUUCAUGCAGGGCAGAAUGUAUUUUUUAAAUUGUUGCCAUUCAUGAAUUAAGAUACUCAUGGACAGAUGGCAAUUCUUCUCCACUAAAUUCAGUAUUCCCUGAAUGAUACUCCCUGAAGGAAGUGCAGUCUGGAAGACAUAUGGUGGAGAAGGCUCAUUUUGAGGAGUUGGUUUGUGAACAAUUGUUUCUCAUAGGAAAGACCACGUACUAGACCAGUAGAAAAGCAUGAGAAGGAAGGUGUGGCAGUGGUCAAGUAGUAUGGACUGACUGCAGCUCCUUCUACCUCUGUUCCUGAUUAGCACAGAGCCAGGAGUGAAGGUAUCGAGUUGAGUGCGGGAAAGGCCAGGAUGGGAAGAGUGGUGGGGAAGAGAUGUUUUAGUCUUCUCCGCAUCUCACCACUCAACUCUGCUUUUAGUUAGCAAUAAAAUAAACUUUCACCAUG